rnacentral:rRNA from 1 species
AGUGAACGCUGGCGGAAGGAUUAACACAUGCAAGUCGAGCGGCAGCGCGGGGGCAACCCUGGCGGCGAGCGGCGGACGGGUGAGGAAUUCGUCGGAAUCUGCCUUUUUGUGGGGGAUAACGUAGGGAAACUUACGCUAAUACCGCAUACGUCCUACGGGAGAAAGUGGGGGACCGCAAGGCCUCACGCAGAAAGAUGAGCCGACGACCGAUUAGCUAGUUUGUGGGGUAAAGGCCCACCAAGGCGACGAUCGGUAGCUGGUCUGAGAGGAUGAUCAGCCACACUGGGACUGAGACACGGCCCAGACUCCUACGGGAGGCAGCAGUGGGGAAUAUUGGACAAUGGGCGCAAGCCUGAUCCAGCCAUGCCGCGUGUGUGAAGAAGGACUUCGGGUUGUAAAGCACUUUUGUCCGGAAAGAAAUCCCUGGAGCUAAUACCUUCGGGGGAUGACGGUACCGGAAGAAUAAGCACCGGCUAACUUCGUG